UACGGAGGGUGCAAGCGUUGUCCGGAUUUAUUGGGUUUAAAGGGUGCGUAGGCGGUUCUGUAAGUCAGCGUUGAAAUAUGGCAGCUUAACUGUCAGACUGGCAUUGAUACUGCAGAACUUGAGUGAAGUUGAGGCUGGCGGAAUUUAUGGUGUAGCGGUGAAAUGCAUAGAUACCAUAAAGAACACCGAUUGCGAAGGCAGCUAGCUAAACUUUAACUGACGCUGAGGCACGAAAGCGUGGGGAGCAAACAGG
rnacentral:misc_RNA from 1 species